rnacentral:lncRNA from 1 species
GAGGAGCGGAGCGGCCGGGAUGACGCGGAAGCCGCCGGGGACUGACUCACCCGGGCCCCGAGCGGCGGCCCCCGGAUGGGGGACAGUGGAGGCGCCUGGACCGGACCCCCGCCAUCCCGGACACUUCUUCUGCCUGGACAUCCCAAGUUUCCACGUGGCACUGUGGAUGGAUAUGCAGCCAAAGGAGGAGCUGCAGCAUGAGAGACCGAGGUUAGAGCAGAGGUGGGACUUCCCUCAAAGAGCCCCCCCCCCAAUCUAUGAACUAACUUUAUACAAGAGAGGUUGGGAAGGAGGGGGGAUGAACCAGAUAGGCAACACGACUGAGGCGUCUUAGGGGCAGAGUAACGGGCAAAAUAGCAAAAUAACCGGGCCAAUCAUCAGGCCACAGUUGUCCCCCUCUCCACUUGCCAGGGCUCCUUGCCGUUUCCCACCUCCCCAGUCCUAAGAACUCACACUUCUCAGGUUCGCGGUGCUAAGGGCCAUCCCUCACAAAUUAAACUCUGGGCCUUGCUGGAUGGGGAGCCCUUUGAAGGCAGAGCCAGGCCCUUCUCGGUCAUCGCCAUGUCCCCAGCACUGACCAGCACAAGACUGGCCUCUGGAGAAACUAACUGCAUGAAUAAAAAGUGGUAAUAAAAUAAAAUGGUGUUUCCCAAGCUACUAACAGCAAAAUGUUUACUGUACACUGCAUGCCAGAUGUAAUUUGAGGAGGAAUCUAAGGGUCUUGCUAUAACCUUAGGAUGGAGGUACUUUUAUUAUUUUCAUCGGUACCAUAUUCAUGUUUUUUGUUUUGGUUUGGAGAGUUUUUUGUUUUUGGUUUUUGGUUUGUUUGUCUUUUUAGGGCCGAACUUGUGACAUAUGUAGGUUCCCAGGCCAGGGGUCAAAUCAGAGCUGGAGCUGCAGCUGCAGCUGCUGACCUAUGCCACAGCCACACCAAUGCCAGAUGCAAGCCACAACUGCGACCUACGCCACAGUUUGCAGCAAUGCGGGAUCCUUAGCCCAAUGAGCAAGGCCAGCUAUCAAACCUGCAUCUUCAUGGAUACCAGACGGGUUCUUAACCCACUGAGCCACAGUGGGAACUCCAAUCUCCAUGUGAGAGAUGAAGAAACGAGAAUAUCUGAGAAUAGCUGAGCUCACCCUGCUUGCAGUCAAAGCUGUCUCUCUAGCUCUUUUUUUUUUUUUUUUUUCCCUGCUGGAUUGAACCCAUGCCACUGCACUAACUAGAGCUACAGCUGUGACAAUGCCAGCUCCUUAACCUGCUGAGCCACCAGAACUGUCUUUUGAACCAGGUCGCCUGGCACAAGAGGUGUUCUGUUCCUAGGAUACUGUCUCUAGGCCCUAUAGAACCCAAAGGGAAGGAGCGAUUCUCAAACUACAGUCCACAGAACCCUGCCAGAGGGACACGGAACACAGAUGGCAGAGGAAGGGGCCAUGUGAAGAUGGAGGCAGAGACCGGAGUGAUGGGGCCACGAGCCCAGGACCACCUGGAGCCCCUAGAAGCUGGAGGAGGCAAGGAAGGAUCUUCCUCUAGAAGCUUCAUGGGAUGCGGCCCUGGCCCCACCUUGAUUUAAUAUUUCUGGCCUCCAGAAGAGAGGGAAUAUAUUUCUGGUGUGUUGAGCCACCAAGUUUGUGGGAACUUGUUAGGCAGCCACAGGAAAUGAAUACAGUGUUUGGGGGCCCGUCACCUUCCACCCUGAAGACAGAGUUCUUGUGUCUUUCAGAUGCUGUCUCCUCACACGAGGAAAGUGAGGCUCAGAAAGAAAGCAGAGCCAAAACCAGAACUCAGGUCCCCAGAACCUCCUCCUCCAAGAUCCCGGGGUCACUGUGGGAACUUGCAGGGUAUUUUCCUGUUGAGAAAAUACAGGAUACUUAGUGAGUUUUCUUUUAAGGCUGGGCUUGAGAACACAAGCUUUUGGUGGAGUCCUGGUUAGUUUGCUUACUUGCUGUGUGGCUUUGGUCAAGAGGCUAACCUCUCUGUGCCUCAGUUUCUCCUAUAAAAUAGGGAUAACAAGACAAGACAUCUCAGAAGGCUGUGAUGGGGAGUAUAUAAGAAUCAACUUUGCCUUUUGACAUAGUCCCGACAGUCUUUGCAAAGCCGUAAGACCAGCAAAAUAAAUGAGAUGCAAAGAUGGGAAGGUAAGAGAUGAAACUGCAACUUGGAGUUCCUGUCAUGGCGCAGCAGAAAUGAAUCUGACUAGGAACCAUGAGGUUGCAGGUUCGAUCCCUGGCCUCUCUCAGUGGGUCGAGGAUCUGGCAUUGCCGUGAGCUGUGGUGUAGGUUGCAGACAGGGCUCAGAUCCUGCGUGGCUGUGGUGUAGGCUGUCAGCGAGGCCAGGGAUCAAGCCUGCAUCCUCAUGGACACUCCUUCCCUGCCCUUUUCACUCUCAUUUUGUCCUGAGUGUACAGAGCAGCCUGCACAGAAUCACAGCAGACUGUGCACAGAAGCAGAUGUGAAGAUCCAGCUUUCUUCUGCUGAGUCAGACAUUAAAGGGAUCUACAAAAAUGUGAAACCAGGAGUCCCCAUCAUGGCUCAGUGGUUAACAAAUCUGACUAGGAACCAUGAGGUUGCAGGUUUGAUCCCUGGCCUCGCUCAGAGGGUUAAGGAUCCGGCAUUGCCGUGAGCUGUGGUGUAGGUCGCAGAUGCGCUCGGAUCCCGUGUUGCUGUGGCUCUGGUGUACGCCAGUGGCUACAGCUCUGAUUCGACCCCUAGCCUGGGAACCUCCAUAUGCUGCGGGAGCAGCCCUCAAAAGGCAAAAAGACAAAAAAAAAAAAAAAAAAA